rnacentral:rRNA from 1 species
UACGUAGGGUGCAAGCGUUGUCCGGAAUUAUUGGGCGUAAAGAGCUUGUAGGCGGUUUGUCGCGUCUGCUGUGAAAUUUCGGGGCUCAACCCCGAACUUGCAGUGGGUACGGGCAGACUAGAGUGUGGUAGGGGAGAAUGGAAUUCCUGGUGUAGCGGUGGAAUGCGCAGAUAUCAGGAGGAACACCGAUGGCGAAGGCAGUUCUCUGGGCCGUAACUGACGCUGAGGAGCGAAAGCGUGGGGAGCGAACAGG